rnacentral:rRNA from 1 species
GGAUGCGAUCAUACCAGCACUAAAGCACCGGAUCCCAUCAGAACUCCGAAGUUAAGCGUGCUUGGGCGAGAGUAGUACUAGGAUGGGUGACCUCUUGGGAAGUCCUCGUGUUGCGUUCC